UACGGAGGGUGCGAGCGUUGUCCGGGAAUCACUGGGCGUAAAGGGCGCGUAGGUGGCCUGUGGAAGUCUGCGGUGAAAGCCCCGGCGCUCAACGCCGGGUCGGCCGUGGAUACUCUCGGGCUUGAGCUUACUAGAGGCAGAUGGAAUUCCGGGUGUAGCGGUGGAAUGCGUAGAGAUCGGGAGGAAGGCCGGUGGCGAAGGCGGCGCUCUGGAACGUUUUCUGACGCUGAGACACGAAAAGCGUGGGGGAGCAAACAGG
rnacentral:rRNA from 1 species